GAGAGAGAGAGAGAGAGAGAGGAAAAGAAAAGAGGGUUCGGUGCUUUUCAAGGUGUUUCAGCAAUGGCUUCGAGAGUUGUUCAGCAGCAGAACAGAGGAGAGGUAGUCCCGGGGAAUAUUAAGCAGAAGAAUGUGGGAGCAGAAAGGAAGAAUCGUCAUGCACUAGGUGACAUAGGAAAUGUGGUUACCGUUCGUGGGGUCGAGGGGAAGCAGCUUCCUCAGGUUUCUUGACCGGUUACGAGGAGUUUUUGUGCUCAGUUACUGGCUAAUGCACAGGCUGCAGUAGCUGAAAACAACAAGGCUGCAAAUGCCAGUGGAGCCAUUGUGGUGGAUGGAGCUCUGCCGUGCGGAAGCUAACUCAGAAAAAAGCUGCAGCAACCGCCAAACCUAAGCCAGAGGAGAUAACUGAAAUUAGUCCCGAUACUACAGAAGUUGCAGAGAAGGAUAAGCCGGAGAGAAGUUGUUGAAGAAGAAAGCUCCAACUCUUACUUCAACUCUCACUGCUAGAAGCAAGGCUGCAUCCGGGCUAAGCAAUAAACCAAAGGUGCAAAUAGAUGCUGCUGACGUGAAUAAUGACUUGGCUGUUGUUGAAUAUGUUGAUGAGAUCUACAAGUUCUACAAGUCAGUUGAGGUAUAAACUCUUGAAGCUCCUCAUUUUAGUGCAAAUCUAAUAAGUUCUUUUGUUUUAUAAUGUUGUUUG